AGAGUUUGAUUAUGGCUCAGAUGACGCUGCGGCGUGCUAACACAUGCAAGUCGAACGGUGAAGCUCCAGCUUGCUGGAGUGGAUCAGUGGCGAACGGGUGAGUAACACGUGAGCAACCUGCCCCGGACUCUGGGAUAACAGUUGGAAACAGCUGCUAAUACGGGAUACGCACCAUACAGGCAUCUGUUGUGGUGGGAAAGAUUUUUUGGCUCGGGAUGGGCUCGCGGCCUAUCAGCUUGUUGGUGAGGUAAUGGCUCACCAAGGCGUCGACGGGUAGCCGGCCUGAGAGGGUGACCGGCCACACUGGGACUGAGACACGGCCCAGACUCCUACGGGAGGCAGCAGUGGGGAAUAUUGCACAAUGGGCGGAAGCCUGAUGCAGCAACGCCGCGUGAGGGAUGACGGCCUUCGGGUUGUAAACCUCUUUUAGCAGGGAAGAAGCGAGAGUGACGGUACCUGCAGAAAAAGCGCCGGCUAACUACGUGCCAGCAGCCGCGGUAAUACGUAGGGCGCAAGCGUUAUCCGGAAUUAUUGGGCGUAAAGAGCUCGUAGGCGGUCUGUCGCGUCUGCUGUGAAAACCCGAGGCUCAACCUCGGGCCUGCAGUGGGUACGGGCAGACUAGAGUGCGGUAGGGGAGAUUGGAAUUCCUGGUGUAGCGGUGGAAUGCGCCGAUAUCAGGAGGAACACCGAUGGCGAAGGCAGAUCUCUGGGCCGUAACUGGCGCUGAGGAGCGAAAGGGUGGGGAGCAAACAGGCUUAGAUACCCUGGUAGUCCACCCCGUAAACGUUGGGAACUAGUUGUGGGGACCUUUCCACGGUCUCCGUGACGCAGCUAACGCAUUAAGUUCCCCGCCUGGGGAGUACGGCCGCAAGGCUAAAACUCAAAUGAAUUGACGGGG
rnacentral:rRNA from 1 species